AUUGAACGCUGGCGGAAUGCUUUACACAUGCAAGUCGAACGGCAGCACGGACUUCGGUCUGGUGGCGAGUGGCGAACGGGUGAGUAAUGUAUCGGAACGUGCCCAGUCGUGGGGGAUAACGUAGUGAAAAUUACGCUAAUACCGCAUACGAUCUAUGGAUGAAAGCGGGGGAUCGCAAGACCUCGCGCGAUUGGAGCGGCCGAUAUCAGAUUACGUAGUUGGUGGGGUAAAGGCCCACCAAGCCAAAGAUCUGUAGCUGGUCUGAGAGGACACCCAGCCACACUGGAACUGAGACACGGUCCAGACUCCUACGGGAGGCAGCAGUGGGGAAUUUUGGACAAUGGGCGAAAGCCUGAUCCAGCCAUGCCGCGUGCAGGAUGAAGGCCCUCGGGUUGUAAACUGCUUUUGUACAGAACGAAAAGGUUUCUACUAAUACUAGGAGCUCAUGACGGUACUGUAAGAAUAAGCACCGGCUAACUACGUGCCAGCCGCCGCAGUAA
rnacentral:rRNA from 1 species